rnacentral:rRNA from 1 species
GACGAACGCUGGCGGCGUGCCUAAUACAUGCAAGUCGAACGCAGUGGGGACGGGUGAGUAACACGUGGUUCACCUCCCAUCAGAGGGGAUAACACUUGGAAACAGGUGCUAAACCGAUAUUGAUGGCUGGACCCGCGGUGCAUUAGCGAGUUGGGGGGGUAACGGAGCACCAAGGGCACGAUGCAUAGCCGACCUGAGAGGGGGAGCGGCCACACUGGAACGGAGACACGGCACAGACUCCAACGGGAGGCAGCAGUAGGGAAUCUUAGGCAAUGGACGAAACUCUGACCGGGAAACGCCACGUGACUGAAGAAGGUUUUCGGAUUGUAAAAGUCUGUUGUUAGAGAAGCGGUAUCAAAUCAGAAAGCAACGGCUAACUACGUGCCAGCAGCCGCGGUAAUAC